rnacentral:rRNA from 1 species
CCUACGGGCGGCAGCAGUGGGGAAUAUUGGACAAUGGGCGAAAGCCUGAUCCAGCCAUGCCGCGUGUGUGAAGAAGGCCUUCGGGUUGUAAAGCACUUUCAGUGGGGAAGAAAGCCUUGGGGCUAAUACCCUCGAGGAAGGACAUCACCCACAGAAGAAGCACCGGCUAACUCCGUGCCAGCAGCCGCGGUAAUACGGAGGGUGCGAGCGUUAAUCGGAAUUACUGGGCGUAAAGCGCGCGUAGGCGGUCUGAUAAGCCGGUUGUGAAAGCCCCGGGCUCAACCUGGGAACGGCAUCCGGAACUGUCAGGCUAGAGUGCAGGAGAGGAAGGUAGAAUUCCCGGUGUAGCGGUGAAAUGCGUAGAGAUCGGGAGGAAUACCAGUGGCGAAGGCGGCCUUCUGGACUGAAACUGACGCUGAGGUGCGAAAGCGUGGGUAGCAAACAGGAUUAGAUACCCCGGUAGUC